UCCCAGACUCCUACGGGAGGCAGCAGUGGGGAAUAUUGCACAAUGGGGGAAACCCUGAUGCGGCGACGCCGCGUGAGUGAAGAAGUAUUUCGGUAUGUAAAGCUCUAUCAGCAGGGAAGAAAAUGACGGUACCUGACUAAGAAGCCCCGGCUAACUACGUGCCAGCAGCCGCGGUAAUACGUAGGGGGCAAGCGUUAUCCGGAUUUACUGGGUGUAAAGGGAGCGUAGACGGCAUGGCAAGUCAGAUGUGAAAGCCCGGGGCUCAACCCCGGGACUGCAUUUGAAACUGUCAGGCUGGAGUGCAGGAGAGGUAAGUGGAAUUCCUAGUGUAGCGGUGAAAUGCGUAGAUAUUAGGAGGAACACCAGUGGCGAAGGCGGCCUGCUGGACGACAACUGACGGUGAGGCGCGAAAGCGUGGGGAGCAAACAGGAUUAGAUACCCUGGUAA
rnacentral:rRNA from 1 species